UACAGGGGGUGCAAACGUUGCUCGGAAUCAUUGGGCGUAAAGCGCGCGUAGGCGGUCAUUUAUGUCGGAUGUGAAAGCCCUUGGCUUAACCGAGGAAGUGCAUCCGAAACUGAAUGGCUUGAGUACCAAAGAGGGUCGCGGAAUUCCCGGUGUAGAGGUGAAAUUCGUAGAUAUCGGGAGGAACACCGGUGGCGAAGGCGGCGACCUGGGUGGAAACUGACGCUGAGGCGCGAAAGCGUGGGGAGCAAACAGG
rnacentral:rRNA from 1 species